GAUGAACGCUGGCGGCGUGCUUAACACAUGCAAGUCGAACGAAGCACUUUAUUUGAUUUCCUUCGGGACUGAUUAUUUUGUGACUGAGUGGCGGACGGUUGAGUAACGCGUGGGUAACCUGCCUUGUACAGGGGGAUAACAGUUGGAAACGGCUGCUAAUACCGCAUAAGCGCACAGCAUCGCAUGAUGCAGUGUGAAAAACUCCGGUGGUAUAAGAUGGACCCGCGUUGGAUUAGCUAGUUGGUGAGGUAACGGCCCACCAAGGCGACGAUCCAUAGCCGACCUGAGAGGGUGACCGGCCACAUUGGGACUGAGACACGGCCCAAACUCCUACGGGAGGAAGCAGUGGGGAAUAUUGCACAAUGGGCGAAAGCCUGAUGCAGCGACGCCGCGUGAGCGAAGAAGUAUUUCGGUAUGUAAAGCUCUAUCAGCAGGGAAGAUAAUGACGGUACCUGACUAAGAAGCACCGGCUAAAUACGUG
rnacentral:rRNA from 1 species